rnacentral:lncRNA from 1 species
UAUUAAAAACAUGAUUGGAAAAUAAAAUUAUUUAAUUUUUUUUCUUUUUUUGGAGGAUAAAUAUUAGGGGCAAUUGCUUAUAUACUCCUGAAAAGUUUCAGACUUUCCGAUUUACCCCUCUUAGAAGGUUAAUAUUGAAAAUACCAUUUCUACGUUCCAAUCUAUUUCUAAUAUAUCUCUAGAGUUAAAAUCUGUUAAUUAACUCUAUUAUUUCUAUAAAAUUACUAUUUUACCCUUUCAAAUAUACCCUUCCACCCUCACUAAUUUUCUUAUUUGCUCUUAAAGUCAGGGACACAAAAAGUAUUUUGACUUUUGGUAUUUUUCAAUAUACUUUUCCAUCAUCACCAACAUUUCUUAUUUACCUUUAAGUUAAGGGCAGAAUUAGCAUUUAAUAUUUUUUAACUGUGGUAGAUAUUUAACUCACGUUUAACCCAAGUUAACUUAACAGUUUAAUUUUUUUAACUGUAGUAGAUAUUUAACUCACGUUUAGGCUAAGUUAACUUAAGCGGGAGUAUUUUACAACAACAGUGGAACAUAUGAGGGAUAUUUUAGAAAGAAAAAAAAAAGAUAAAUCGAAUAUUUUCAAAGUAUAAGAAAUAUAUAGGUAAUUAUUCUUAAAUUUU